rnacentral:lncRNA from 1 species
UCAACUUCUUACUUUCUAUUAGACCCUGCAUUGAGGUACAUAUAUGAGCACUCAAAUCAGAGUCCAAUAUCCAACUAGAAGUAGAAGAAAUUGUAAGGUUAGAUUCAAUUACGAAUAUACCUUUUGAAGGUUUAUCACCCUUCUUGAUCUUUAGGCUCUCCAGAUAGAGUGGAUAAUUUCUCCUCCAGUGGCUUUCAGCAUCAC